GACGAACGCUGGCGGCGUGUUUAACACAUGCAAGUCGAACGGAGUACCCAUGACAGAGGUUUCGGCCAAUAGAUUGGGUUACUUAGUGGCGGACUGGUGAGUAACGCGUGGGGAACCUGCCUUUCAGAGGGGGACAACAGCUGGAAACGGCUGCUAAUACCGCAUGAUGCAUCGAGGGGGCAUCCCUUUGAUGCCAAAGAUUUUAUCGCUGAAAGAUGGCCUCGCGUCCGAUUAGAUAGUUGGCGAGGUAACGGCCCACCAAGUCGACGAUCGGUAGCCGGACUGAGAGGUUGACCGGCCACAUUGGGACUGAGAUACGGCCCAGACUCCUACGGGAGCAGCAGUGGGGAAUAUUGGGCAAUGGGACGCAAGUCUGACCCAGCAACGCCGCGUGAAGGAAGAA
rnacentral:rRNA from 1 species